AACUCAACUCCAUUGUCCAUCCUCCCUCUUGAAAUGUCACCCCUUCAACUGUCCUUCUAUCGUUACCCGAAAAACGAAAAAAAAAAAAAAAAAAAAAAAAAGAUAUCUGUCCUUCUAAGUUUUAUGAAAAUACCCUUCGAAGGAGGAACGGUAGUGGAUUGCAGAGAGCCAGAAAAAGGAUGGGCGAAGAACAGGCGGAUGGGAGCGGAUGAGAGAGGUUUGAGGUUUUGUAAGGAUGGGGUAGGAUUCCACACCGAAAUUGGGAUGUAUUUGAAGAGGAGUAAGAUUGGUGAAUCUCACUCACCCUAUUCAUUCUCUCUCUAAUGCUUACUCCCGUAACGCUUUCUCAGAUUCUUCCCUUUCUUCAGGCCACCGGAGGCCGGUUCCUCUUCUCUUGAGUACAUACUACGUUGCAGCAGUGGGUGAACAUGCAGCCAAUGGAUGACAGAAUUGUUCUCAAUCAACAAAUCCAGACCUGUCUGAAACUUCCAGCGUCACCGGAGCCCCCACAUAGCCAAAACCGUUGUCAAAGUGAAGACGAAGAAGACAUGAUCGGUUUCUCCCUCGGCUUGGGUGUUAUCUUCCGGAAGAUCAUCUUCAACCUUUCCGGUGCCAGAUUCGUCAGAAAACAAUUUCUCUUAUCUUUCCCUUUUUCCCGGAUUCCCGUGUGGGAUUGGUACUUCCAGGAAGGUCUACAACAUUGUCAAAACGUGUAUCAGGAACCUAACCUACCCGGCAAGGAUAUGCGGUGAUGGGAAUUCAACAGAAAUAGUCGGAUUUCAGUAUAGAUAGUCUUCAAGGUCCAAUUGAGUGGUUGGAGCACUUGGAUUAUGGUGCCAAGUUUAUACCUGAAUAUCGCUGCAAGAGUGAAUUCUAGAGCCAAGAGCCAGAGGUGUAUGUAUUGUGUUUGUCAUCUGGGCUCCAAAAUGUAAACUGUCUGUUUCUUAUGAAGUGGUCUGCGUGUAUUCCUGCUCAAAUCUGCUUUGCAGGUCCUGAUGAUAUUGCCUUCUAUAUAGUUUAAUUAUCCAAAGAGUAUGGAACUUGGACAUUAGAUCGACAGAAGUAUGACGGUGUGAGAAAAUGCUUUACCAUUUGUGUGAUACAAUUUGACUGUUUAUUCUCCCAAUGCAUAAGAAAAAUAAGCUAUGGAA